GCCUGGGUGGCUCAGUCGGUUGAGCGUCUGACUUCAGCUCAGGUCAUGAUCUCAUGGUUCAUGAGUUCGAGCCCCGCGUCAGGCU
rnacentral:tRNA from 1 species